AGUCCAUGGUGUCGGCAGCAUCUAAGUAGGUCUUUGAAUCUCUCCCAGGUUUCGUACAUCGACUCAUCAUCAAACUCCAUAAAAGAAGAUGUAUGAUUUCUAAGUUU
rfam:Ricinus communis cultivar Hale ctg_1100012360783, whole genome shotgun sequence.